AACGAACGCUGGCGGCAUGCCUAACACAUGCAAGUCGAACGAUAGCCUUCUGAUGAUAGUGGCUCACGGGUGCGUAACGCGUGGCAAUCUGCCCUUAGGUUCGGAUUUACCUCUUCAAGCGGCUUCUCAUACCGGAGCAUACCGCGAUACCAAGGAUUUCUCGCGUGAGGAUGCGCCCGCGUUGGAUUACGUAGUUGGUGGGAUAAGGGCAUACCAAGCCGACGAUCCCUAACUGGGCUGAGAGGAUGAUGAGCCACACCUGGACUGAGACACGGCCCAGACUCCUGCGAGAGGCAGCAGUGGCUAAUAUUGGACAAAGGACGCAGGCCUGAUCCAGCAAUGCCGCGAGAGUGAUGAAGGCCCGAGUGUUGUAAAGCGCGUUUACACGGGACUGUAAUGACUGUACCGGGAGAAUAAGCCCCGGCUAACUCCGUG
rnacentral:rRNA from 1 species